rnacentral:lncRNA from 1 species
GAUCUCUAGGGCACACUGAGCUCCGAAGCACCGCGAUUCUACUUCCAGUGCAAGAGCGGGCCCUCUUACAGCCAGCCAGAAGGAGCCUGGAAAUCUGACGUUCCAUAGAACUAGCCCGAGGGAAGAAGCAAAACACAGCAUCCUCAGCUACUCCCUGUUGGGUUCCGGACUCCACACAGCCCCAGCCCUUGACCGAUGGCCUCCACUGGACUGGGCGUCGUGUGCCAGCUGGCACUCAAUUAAACAAGGAGGAAAGCUGGCUGACCUGGGCACCAGGCUCUGUGCAGAAGGGAAGCCGAGAAAAUUGCC